UGUCAUGUGUGCCUUUACUUGUAUGUG
rnacentral:piRNA from 1 species